GACGAGACUGCCGAGAUCACCAAGAUCUUUGAAAUGUGCUUUUUAACAGGAUUCAUUCCGGUUUGAUACAGCAGAGAGAAAGGGAAUCUGCAAGGAAUUACCCGGGGGCCUGUAGAUGUCGGCUAGACCACAGUGAGGAUGAAAGCAGAUGAGCUUUUUUUAGGACUCGGCUGAAACACUCUUUAAGAUCUACUCUCAGCAGUGCUUUGAGCUGAGCUGGUGGCUUUGAUCCCGAGUGGAGUGCGGUGGGAGAGCUCGCAGGAGCUCCUGUAGCGCUGCAGCGGCGAGCAGUGGGCAGACAGGAGAUUCUGAGCUAGUAACAGCGUUCCCAAAGCAAUCGCAACUGUUUUGGAGGACUUCUGUAAGCAAAGGCAGCAAAGGAGCAGGGCUGGAUUUUUAGCCAGCUGGUAACCACGCGGUGGAUGUGUCUUAAGCUGUAACCACACCAGCGCGCAUCGCACCCCCAUAGCAGAAUUUUUAAAACAUCACAUUCCUUAAAAGACCUAAUUUUGAAGGUGGUAGGAGUGUUGUCAGCGGCAAAACCUACUGAAGCUUCUGCAGCAGCAGCAGCCCCUGAGCAGCCAGGGGGAAAUGCAGGCAUGGCUGCUUGGAGAUGCUCCCCCCAGCCUGGGGGUCUGCACCCUUGGGGACGGACUGUGGGUCACCUAGCUCGGGCUGUCACCCCCCUGACAGCCGGGUCCUUGGCACCCUCCCACCCUUUCAGGAUCAGCCCUUUUCCAGCCUGAUUACAGGCCUGGCUGGAAAUGCAGACAACUCAAUGGUUUCGGUGUGAGUCACAGAAGAUUUGGUGGCUUUUCUCUCCUUGCAACUCCAGGCUCCCCGGGCUGAAGCGGUUAGCUGGCAGCAUCAGGCUCCUCGCCCGGAGGAAGCAGAUCUGCAGCCCUUGGACGCGUGGAGAGAAGUUGGGAUGUGUCCUGAGCAGGCUCAGGAGGAGCAAGCCGGCGCAGGACCUCAGGUCUCCCGGCAAGCGUUGUCUCACGCCAUUGGGGAGAGAAGCAGCAGUUCUGGUAUGCAGAGUGUUGCCCCAGAGGUCACGUAACAUCUGGGAGCUUGGAAACUGCUGUCAGUGAAUAGCUAUGGAAACACAUCCUGAAGCAAGGUGAAAUAUCUCAAGGUGAACCUCUGCAACGGGCAUCACCGACAUCCUGCCAGGGAGCCCAGUGACCCCAACAUCACUUCUCCAGCUUCAGCAUCGGUUUGUAAUGUCAACAUAACCCUCUGUUAUAAUAGCAGCCCUGUCAUUUAUGCUUACUUAUCAGUCUAUUUAUAAUACCUCUAAGCAAGCCCGUUAUUUAUUGGGAUAAAGUUGGCUAUCCAGAGAGGCUGAAGUCUGCACAGGGUCAGGAGGAACACGAAUACCCUUUUUCUAAUUCUGACACUAUAAGCCUCCCAAAGGUGAAGGCUGUCAGUACUAUUAGCAGAUAUUACUGCGCAACAGGAAGACAAUUACUGCGGGAGAACUGUUUCUCCUGAGCUUAAUGAUUCACUAGCACGUGUGAGUGCCAUUAAUCCCCAAGGGAGCGGAGGCAGCUGGCCUCGUGAACACACUACUCCCCGCUCAAGCCUUGCAGCGAUGCUGGUGAUGCUGUGGAGAGGUUCUCUCCUGCUCUGGGUGUCUCAGAAAAUACUCUGAGAGGGCGCAGGGCUGCUCUGCAGCUCACAGGGGGCUGGCACUCGAGCUGGACCAUGCUUUGGGCUUUUUCAGCAAUACCUGCUACCCUGCGAUGGGAAUCCUUACUUGCCUGGCAGGGUCUUUGCCAUUGAGCUUUUCCCUGCAGCAACAGCUGUGCCAUGCAGAGUCAGGUGAGAAGCUCAGCACAUUCACUCGCCUUUUAGGUGUUCAGGAAGCUCCUAGACCCUCUGUGGUCACCACAGGAGGGAUCACAGCUAGCCUUCAUGGACAAAGCAUCUCAAGUCCUUCCCCAACAGCAGCACUGGCCGCGUCACAGCCCCUAUGCUGGCUGCUGGGCUUUGCUGGGGGCAAUGGCUGGCCGGUUGGGGAUGCUUGCUCUCUGCCCGUGCGGCCAUGGGGCAUCCCGGCUACGGCAGCUGGGUCCUGCACCAGGCCGCUCUGCUCCGGCUGGUCCAACAUGCACAACACAAGCUGGCACGGGCCGUGGAGUAGUCGGCUUGUAAUGGAAAUGCUGCCUGCAGAGCUCCCUCUGCUCCUCAGCAACACUCUGACACUUCUGUGCCUUAUAUUACAUGGUUUGUAUGAAAUCAUAGCUGAUUUCUGAGCAUAAUAGGCACAAGUAAAGGUACGAUGAUACACAGAUGAGCUUACACCGGGGCUGCAAAUU